rnacentral:rRNA from 1 species
GAUGAACGCUGGCGGCGUGCCUAAUACAUGCAAGUCGAGCGAACAGACGAGGAGCUUGCUCCUCUGACGUUAGCGGCGGACGGGUGAGUAACACGUGGAUAACCUACCUAUAAGACUGGGAUAACUUCGGGAAACCGGAGCUAAUACCGGAUAAUAUAUUGAACCGCAUGGUUCAAUAGUGAAAGACGGUUUUGCUGUCACUUAUAGAUGGAUCCGCGCCGCAUUAGCUAGUUGGUAAGGUAACGGCUUACCAAGGCAACGAUGCGUAGCCGACCUGAGAGGGUGAUCGGCCACACUGGAACUGAGACACGGUCCAGACGCCUACGGGAGGCAGCAGUAGGGAAUCUUCCGCAAUAGUCGAAAGCCUUACGGAGCAACGCCGCGUGAGUGAUGAAGGUCUUCGGAUCGUAAAACUCUGUUAUUAGGGAAGAACAAAUGUGUAAGUAACUAUGCACGUCUUGACGGUACCUAAUCAGAAAGCCACGGCUAACUACGUG